rnacentral:rRNA from 1 species
CAGUCGAACGGUAACGCGGGGCAACCUGGCGACGAGUGGCGAACGGGUGAGUAAUAUAUCGGAACGUGCCCAGUAGUGGGGGAUAGCCCGGCGAAAGCCGGAUUAAUACCGCAUGAGACCUAGGGGUGAAAGCGGGGGAUCGCAAGACCUCGCGCUAUUGGAGCGGCCGAUAUCAGAUUAGGUAGUUGGUGGGGUAAAAGCCUACCAAGCCGACGAUCUGUAGCUGGUCUGAGAGGACGACCAGCCACACUGGGACUGAGACACGGCCCAGACUCCUACGGGAGGCAGCAGUGGGGAAUUUUGGACAAUGGGCGCAAGCCUGACCCAGCCAUGCCGCGUGCGGGAAGAAGGCCUUCGGGUUGUAAACCGCUUUUGUCAGGGAAGAAAUCUUCUGGGCUAAUACCUCGGGAGGAUGACGGUACCUGAAGAAUAAGCACCGGCUAACUACGCGCCAGCAGCCGCGGUAAUACGUAGGGUGCGAGCGUUAAUCGGAAUUACUGGGCGUAAAGCGUGCGCAGGCGGUCUGGCAAGACAGGUGUGAAAUCCCCGGGCUUAACCUGGGAACUGCACUUGUGACUGCAAGGCUGGAGUACGGCAGAGGGGGAUGGAAUUCCGCGUGUAGCAGUGAAAUGCGUAGAUAUGCGGAGGAACACCGAUGGCGAAGGCAAUCCCCUGGGCCUGUACUGACGCUCAUGCACGAAAGCGUGGGGAGCAAACAGGAUUAGAUACC